rfam:Nitrospirae bacterium GWB2_47_37 gwb2_scaffold_2354, whole genome shotgun sequence.
UCUGGUGGUUAUGCCGGAGGGGCCACACCCGUUCCCAUUCCGAACACGGAAGUUAAGCCCUCCAGGGCCGAUGAUACUAUAGCUGCGAGGCCAUGGGAAAGUAGGACGCCGCCGGAU